UUUGUGCAGUGGUUAUCACUCCGGAUUUUGAUUCUUAUCUUUCAAAUAUUCCGGCAACCCCGGUUCGAGCCCGGGCACGACCUAA